rnacentral:rRNA from 1 species
AACGGACGCUGGCGGCAUGCCUAACACAUGCAAGUCGAACGAAGGCUUCGGCCUUAGUGGCGCACGGGUGAGUAACGCGUGGGAAACUGCCUAUUGGCGGGGAAUAACGACGGGAAACUGUCGCUAAUACCGCAUAAGCCCUUCGGGGGAAAGAUUUAUCGCCGAAAGAUGAGCACGCGUCCGAUUAGCUAGUUGGUGAGGUAAUGGCUCACCAAGGCGACGAUCGGUAGCUGGUCUGAGAGGAUGAUCAGCCACACUGGGACUGAGACACGGCCCAGACUCCUACGGGAGGCAGCAGUGGGGAAUAGUGGACAAUGGGCGAAAGCCUGAUCCAGCAAUGCCGCGUGAGUGAUGAAGGCCUUAGGGUUGUAAAGCUCUUUCGGGUGGGACGAUGAUGACGGUACCACCAGAAGAAGCCCCGGCUAACUUCGUGCCAGCAGCCGCGGUAA